rnacentral:rRNA from 1 species
GAGUUUGAUCCUGGCUCAGGAUGAACGCUGGCGGCGUGCUUAACACAUGCAAGUCGAACGGGAAACCUUUUAUUGAAGCUUCGGCAGAUUUAGCUGGUUUCUAGUGGCGGACGGGUGAGUAACGCGUGGGUAACCUGCCUUAUACAGGGGGAUAACAGUCAGAAAUGACUGCUAAUACCGCAUAAGCGCACAGAGCUGCAUGGCUCAGUGUGAAAAACUCCGGUGGUAUAAGAUGGACCCGCGUUGGAUUAGCUUGUUGGUGAGGUAACGGCCCACCAAGGCGACGAUCCAUAGCCGGCCUGAGAGGGUGAACGGCCACAUUGGGACUGAGACACGGCCCAGACUCCUACGGGAGGCAGCAGUGGGGAAUAUUGCACAAUGGGGGAAACCCUGAUGCAGCGACGCCGCGUGAGUGAAGAAGUAUCUCGGUAUGUAAAGCUCUAUCAGCAGGGAAGAUAAUGACGGUACCUGACUAAGAAGCACCGGCUAAAUACGUGCCAGCAGCCGCGGUAAUUC